AGCGUGAAUGUUCCCAGUCACUUCUCAUCCCACUAAUUUAGCAGAAGGGGAGGAGAGAGAGAGAGAGAGGUAGAGAGAGCUUGGCGGUGUAUUGGUGAGCGGGGGGACCGUGAGGCAGGCAGACCGUCUCAGCCUCUGCAGUAUCUGACCUGAAAAAACAAAACCACCGCCGCCGCCGCUACUACUGCUGCUGCUGCUGAGAAAACCUACAGCACCCAAACGCACCGGGCCGGGCGGGUUUUCCUCCUCCAGGUGUGUGAGGAGAAAAAAAAACUCGUCGAUCAUUCAUCUUCCUGAGAUCUCACGGUGAAGCAGCUGCCGGUGAUUAAGGCACGCACGGUCACCUCGCGUAGAAACCGACGGGUAGCUGCAGAGACGCACGGCGCGGAGGAGAAGCUCUGUUUGGGGUGCAUAUUGUCGGUUAUUCCGCCCAAGGAGCUUGCGCUCCGUGACGGAGCUCGCUGUUUACGCGGCGGCUGCUGCCUGCGAGGAAGAGUGGGAGGAGGAGGCGCUGAGAGCCGCCGUCACAGUGAGCGGGUUUGUUGGAGAUUUUUGCCAAAGGAUUGGCGUCGUGGUGAUACAAAGACGACAGAGAAGCGCUGUCUACCGCUCACCUCCACCACCUCCCUCCUCCUCCUCCUCCUCCACCAAUGGGUUAGAAUCCGGUUGUUCUUCCAGAUCAGCCUGCAGAGCAUCGGAGGGUCCGCUCACACCUGCGCACACCUGCCCACCCCGACCUGCAGGGGCUGUAUGAUGUAGGAGCCAGCUGCCCACCAGCUCUGCAUCCCGUAAUCCCACGCACCAGUGUACCACUCACUCUGCCCCUCACCUCACACCCAGCGUCCCAUCAUGCCGGCGGGGAUGAAACCGCUGGAGAAGUUCCUGAAGAAGCAGACCACGGCCCUUACCCGGGCCGGGGGCUUCGUCGGCGGGGUGGCGGACAAGGCCAGCGGUGGAACCGGGGCGUCCCGCCGGAGGGCCAGUCUGUCCCGGGUCGUACCUUUCUUCAGAGAGACGUCACCGGAGAGCGGCCAGGCUCGGGAGGUGUUCAGCCCAGAUAGUGAAGACCCCCCCUCCUGGCCUUCAGCUACAGGGCCUGGUCUGGUCACGAUCCCCAGCAGCGCGAAUGGCUCCUGCUCUGGCUCUGGGUCCGGUUCUGGUUCUGGAGGAGGCGAUGUCCGCAGUCCCUCUCUGUCCAGUGACGAGCAGAGCUCUGAGGCCAGCCUGGUCACAGAGACCAGCAGCAGCGGGGGAGGAGGAGGAGGAGGAGGAGGAGGGACACCUCUUCUUCCUGACACACCGGACAACCUGACCCUCGCCGUGCUGGACAGCGUGG
ensembl:lncRNA